GUAGGGUGGCAAGCGUUGUCCGGAAUUAUUGGGCGUAAAGCGCGCGCAGGCGGUCCUUUAAGUCUGGGUGUGAAAGCCCACGGCUCAACCGUGGAGGGUCAUUGGAAACUGGGGGACUUGAGUACAGAAGGGGAAAGCGGAAUUCCAAGUGUAGCGGUGAAAUGCGUAGAGAUUUGGAGGAACACCAGUGGCGAAGGCGGCUUUCUGGUCUGUAACUGACGCUGAGGCGCGAAAGCGUGGGGAGCAAACAGGAUUAGAUACCCUGGUAGUCCACGCCGUAAACGAUGAGUGCUAAGUGUUAGGGGGUUUCCGCCCCUUAGUGCUGCAGCUAACGCAUUAAGCACUCCGCCUGGGGAGUACGGCCGCAAAGGCUG
rnacentral:rRNA from 1 species